GGUGCAGGGCAUAACCCUGCCCAUGACAGCCCUGGUUCAUUUCUGAACUGGUUGAAGGCUGCCUCCCUCUGCCCUUGACGCCGCACCACCUUCCUGCUUGGAUCCUCUGCUCCCAUGUACUGUCCACAAGCUGCUCGAGGGCUCCUUCUUAUGCGCCACCUAUCCUGCUUCUCAGCCCUCAGUGAAGCAUCAGUUCCUUCACAGGACGCAGGAAUCCCUCUUGAACCUGGCCCUACCUUUCUCGCCUGCCUGUGUUCCUUCCGUACUUCUUGUCUUGCGCUUGUCCCAGUGGGUGCUGAACUGCUGUGACCUGGCUGUGCUGUUUCCUGACUCGAUACCUCUGCUUCUAUUUAUGCCCUCACCCUGAGUUUUUUGCCUUUGCCUGCCUACCCCUUCUUCAUUCUUCAAAAUUGACAGUGAGAGGGAGACUUCUGUGGUUCCUUGAAUUCCAUCCCAGUUCUGGCUUCUGGCCCAGAGAGACUGGCAUGCAUGCACAGAACCCAGCGCAGGCAGACGGCAUGUGGACAGAUCACACAGCACAGCGGCCCUUUGUGAGGAGCAAUGACAAUGACUUCCACCUCUUCCGGGGAGAAGCCCAGAUGAGGAGGUCAGUGGCUGUGGCCUGUCAGCCCUAGAGGUGAUGUCACCGUCUCCCGAGGACAAAACCUUCAUUUAGCUGCAAGAGGGAACAGUU
rnacentral:lncRNA from 1 species